AGAAUCAACGCUGGCGACGUGCCUAACACAUGCAAGUCGCACGAGAAAGGGGAGCAAUCCCUGAGUAAAGUGGCGCACGGGUGAGUAACACGUGAAUAAUCUACCUCCGAGUGGGGAAUAACUGAGAGAAAUCUUAGCUAAUACCGCAUAACACUUACGAGUCAAAGCAGCAAUGCGCUUGGAGAGGAGUUCGCGGCCGAUUAGUUAGUUGGCGGGGUAAUGGCCCACCAAGACGAUGAUCGGUA
rnacentral:rRNA from 1 species